rnacentral:tRNA from 1 species
GCGGGCGUAGCUCAGAGGUAGAGCACCUGCUUCCCAAGCAGGAGGUCGCCGGUUCGAGUCCCGUCGCCCGCU